UUGGCAUUAUGGUUUCAUUUCUCACAACAAAUCUACAAUAUUCAAACUUUAUAAGAAAUAUACAAGAGGGGUGUACCUCAAUAACUCUCGACAAUUUCAAUAACAUUGUUACAACUUCACGAUUAUGAUAACAUUAUUUUAAGCAAUAACAAGGUGGUAAAAUUUCAUGGAGCUUUUCCCUUUUGUUUCCCGUUCUCUUCUAUAUCUCCUAUUUCCCUUGAGGAUAGUAAUAUUGAGGGAGAUCCUCACGUCCUCUUGUUCAGAUUUUUUAGCAAACUUCUUUAGUAUUCGGGACAAAUCUUCAAUUUGAUCUCUAUGUUAAGAGUUACCCAAACAAGCACAUCGUGAUUCACCACUAGACUCACCCUCAAAUCGCACAUGUUCAUUUUCACCGGACGAAACAUCACUCCACUUGAAAUGCCCACCAUCAUUGCUACAAUAGAAUAAUAGCCAUCCCAUGUUUGCAGUCUCCUUUUCUACCUUCGUGCAUUUCCAAAUGUCUUCUUUUCUACCUCCAUGCAUUCUAUAAAUUCCAUGCCGUAUCUUGGGCAUCAUUUCUUUAUUGGGCAUUGUGAUAUGUAGUGCCCCCAGUUUCGUACAACUAUUACAAAUACCCUUGUUUUUCAGUGUUAUUGAAAAUUGCAAUCACAGACACGAAUCAAUUAUUCCAAAAUAGAUUUUUUUUUUUACUAACUAAAUUAAGAUAUUACAAAUUAUUUAAAUAUCCUUGACUAAUCAUCCUUAUUUCUAAAUGUAAGAAUUAUGCAUUCUUGUUUUGCGUUUGUUCGAUAGUGAUUUUGAGAAUUGAUUUUUUUACUGUUAGAGAGAAAAGUGGAUCCCAUCUGUAAGUGAGAAAGUCAAAGAUGAUGAUUGAAAUAGUGAAAUAAUAGAUAAAAUUUGCUAUCAAACGGUGGCUUAAUAAUCCCAUUAACGCUAUACGUGGUGGUUCUUGAAUUUUAUCAAUGGUGAAAGCUCAGAAAAUGAAACAUUUUAGUGUGAAAAAAUUUCCAGCCCCUGAAUUGACAAAUACAAAAUCAACCCCAAUAUAAUUCUUCAUUAUAAAAAAUGAUAGAUUCAAGAUAAUUAUUUGAAAAAAAAAAAAAAAGGAAAUAUGUGUGUACAACUCUUUGCAUAGUAAAAUUAACGUUCAAACAAAAAUUUGAUAAUUGAAAUGGAGUAAAUUUACCUUUAAUCCACUUCCUUCCGAACUUAUUUAGCUUCAAACUUUACUCAAUGAGCUUCUAGUUGCCUGAGCUUUGGACACCAUACAAGCUGAGAAAAUGGACUCUCAAUUUAGAACUACCGCAGCAGAAAUGCAAAGGAGAAUGUAACUUGCAUCGACAAACAAAUGAAUUCAAUUUCUUUCCGAUUAGAGUUGGGUUCCUAUUAUUCUUGUUGCAGAAUUAAUCCAUUUAGGUGGUUAGGGUUAGCGGUAAUUUCUGGGAUUUCAAAGUCGUUG
rnacentral:lncRNA from 1 species